rnacentral:rRNA from 1 species
AACGAACGCUGGCGGCAUGCCUAACACAUGCAAGUCGAACGAGACCUUCGGGUCUAGUGGCGCACGGGUGCGUAACGCGUGGGAACCUGCCCUUAGGUUCGGAAUAACUCCCCGAAAGGGGUGCUAAUACCGGAUAAUGUCUUCGGACCAAAGAUUUAUCGCCUUUGGAUGGGCCCGCGUUGGAUUAGCUAGUUGGUAGGGUAAAAGCCUACCAAGGCGACGAUCCAUAGCUGGUCUGAGAGGAUGAUCAGCCACACUGGGAAUGAGACACGGCCCAGACUCCUACGGGAGGCAGCAGUGGGGAAUAUUGGACAAUGGGCGAAAGCCUGAUCCAGCAAUGCCGCGUGAGUGAUGAAGGCCUUAGGGUUGUAAAGCUCCUUUACCCGGGAUGAUAAUGACAGUACCGGGAGAAUAAGCUCCGGCUAACUCCGUG